rnacentral:rRNA from 1 species
UACGGAGGGUGCAAGCGUUGUUCGGAAUUAUUGGGCGUAAAGGACGCGUAGGCGGUAAUGAAAGUCAGAUGUGAAAUACUUCGGCUCAACUGAAGAACUGCACCUGAAACUUCAUAACUAGAGUACAGAAGAGGGAAACGGAAUUCCCGGUGUAGAGGUGAAAUUCGUAGAUAUCGGGAGGAACACCAGUGGCGAAGGCGGUUUCCUGGUCUGAUACUGACGCUGAGGCGUGAAAGUGUGGGGAGCAAACAGGAUUAGAUACCCUGGUAGUCCACACUGUAAACGGUGAACACUAGGUGUGGGAGGUGUAAUACCUUCUGUGCCGUAGCUAACGCGAUAAGUGUUCCGCCUGGGAAGUACGGCCGCAAGGUUG